rnacentral:lncRNA from 1 species
CAGUUUGCGUUCGACUCGAUAUUUGGCUCGUUCGAGCUCGACUCGAAAUUAAAUGAGCCGAACUUGAACCAAAAAAAAAAAGGUUUGAAAUUCAUUUCAAGCCGAGCUGGAGCAUUACUCGGCUCGUUUGAAUUAGGCUCGGAAAGCUCGAAAAGCUCGAAUAUAUAUAUAUAAUAGAACUACUAUGCUAUUGAAAGUAUAGAAGAUCCAAGCUUUCGAUUUUUUGAUUCUUAGAUCAACCCUUUUAAUCAUUUCUUAUCUUUGGAUUAAUACUAUUAUAUUACCUUAUAAGGACCACUCAAUCCUAGGGAUAUUAUUUAAUCCUAAGGGGGACCGCAAUCAUUCCAACCAUACAAUUCUUAAUCAAAAGGUUAAAAAUUCGAAAACAUCAAAUCCUCUAUAUUUUCGAUAGCAUGAUAGUUCUACACUUAUAUAUUAAAAAAUAUAUAAAUAUAAUAUAUUUUAAUUAUAUAUAGGCCAAGUAAAUAAUCUCGGUUUAGUUAAAAUUGGACCAAUGUUGUUGGCCCAUAAAAACAAAUCCAAUAGACAAAUAAAAGAGCAAAAUUUCACUAAAUUUAUACAUUUUUCCUUUCUUUCUUUCUUUCUUUCACAGAGCUCUAAAUUUUCAAUAUGUUUCUCUCUUUUUCUUUUUCUGUCUCUCACCCUAAAUAGCCAAGCCGAAAGCCCUUCAAGUUACCAAGUAACAGCAUAUGUCCGCCAUUGUCUACCUUGCUAUUAAUUAUAUGCUUGAAAAAAUAUACAGAAUAUUUUUAAAAUAGAAAAUUAUUAUUCAUAUAAAAUUUUAAUUUUAGUUAUAUAUGAUUGGAUUAGUUUAAUCCAAUAUUUAUCAAUAUAAUUUAUUUAUUUUUGACCGCAUAAAUGAAAAUGAAUAAUAUGGAGAUUGAAAGCGGAAGAGAAGACUUGUGAGGCCGAAAAGAUUAGAUAUUCAACUCAUAAAUUAUUUUUCUUCAUAUUAUAAUACUAUAUUUCAUAUAAUUAUUUUGUACUUUGAACUAUUAAACAUAUUUUUGUAUCAAAUUAUAGAUAAUAUUCUACACAAAUUAAACUAUUGAUUGUAUAAUGUUAAGAAUUUCAAGCGGCUCGUUUAGGGCUCAAGCUCGCUCGACUCGAAAUUAGGCUCGCUCGAGCUCGACUCGAAUUAAUUUCAAUCCAAACUUGAGCUUAAAUUUAGACUCGAAAUUAAUUUCAAGCCGAAUUUG